UAUAAAUGAAAACGUGCUUUUAUAUCAGUGUUACAGAUUCACAUUACUGAACGUGUCUCAACCCGUACCGCGCUUUUAUCUGCCUAAAGGUAUCUUCACGCACGACUGGAUAGGCCUUUUGGAUACGCUUGUCCAAGGCCCAAGACAUAAAGUCUCCUGAAAGCUGUGUAGCAAUCAUUCCAUUGCUGACCCAUAGGAUGGUAAUCACAUACAUGAUUGGCUUCAUCUAGAAUCAUGGAUACCUUUCAUACCUUCUCAUCACAAGUUGGAACUAGUGGUCAACAUUGGGACAAUGCAGCCAUAAAUAACAUGGACCAAUAUUUUCAUGGAGUGAGCAAGACCUGCCAGCAGAGCUCACUGGAGCAGGGAGACAUGCCGUCAUCCUUUUGGCGCCUGACAAAGCUUGAGAUUCAGAUCCUGCUGAACGAUGUUAAGCAUUCGAUUAACCACAUGCAUGGGACGCUGAACACCAUGCAGGGGCAGUGUAUUGAGUUGCAGACUGCCAUGUCUAAGGUAGUGUCAGAUGAUUGAGAUGGUGAUUAUAAUAAUGAUGACUAGCGGUACCCCACCCUAAGUGCAGUAAAUCAUUGGAUCUGAUUAAUUAAAUUCAAUGCAAUUCAAUCUUUGAGGACUGCAACCAUAGAAAUACAAUUACUUUACACUAAUAAUAAGCUAUUGUCAACUUGCCGUCAAUGCUUAUCUUGCUCAUUGCUCACUGUCAAUUGCUGACUGUUACCCUAUGAGUGCAACUAUUAUUGAUUUCUCACAGAAAAAUUAUUUGGUUGCAAAUGUACCUGGGGCCAUGUAAAUAAUUGUUAGGCUACUCAUUUUGAAUCCACCGGUGGCAACUUGUGUGA
rnacentral:lncRNA from 1 species